rnacentral:rRNA from 1 species
AGUCGAGCGAAGUUUUUCUGGUGCUUGCACUAGAAAAACUUAGCGGCGAACGGGUGAGUAACACGUAAAGAACCUGCCUCAUAGACGGGGACAACUAUUGGAAACGAUAGCUAAUACCGGAUAACAGCAUAAAUCGCAUGAUAUAUGUUUAAAAGUUGGUUUCGGCUAACACUAUGAGAUGGCUUUGCGGUGCAUUAGCUAGUUGGUGGGGUAAAGGCCUACCAAGGCGACGAUGCAUAGCCGACCUGAGAGGGUGAUCGGCCACACUGGGACUGAGACACGGCCCAGACUCCUACGGGAGGCAGCAGUAGGGAAUCUUCCGCAAUGGGCGAAAGCCUGACGGAGCAACGCCGCGUGAGUGAAGAAGGAUUUCGGUUCGUAAAGCUCUGUUGUUAGGGAAGAAUGAUUGUAUAGUAACUAUAUACAGUAGAGACGGUACCUAACCAGAAAGCCACGGCUAACUACGUGCCAGCAGCCGCGGUAAUACGUAGGUGGCAAGCGUUGUCCAGAAUUAUUGGGCGUAAAGCGCGCGCAGGUGGUUUAAUAAGUCUGAUGUGAAAGCCCACGGCUCAACCGUGGAGGGUCAUUGGAAACUGUUAAACUUGAGUGCAGGAGAGAAAAGUGGAAUUCCUAGUGUAGCGGUGACAUGCGUAGAGAUUAGGAGGA